rnacentral:rRNA from 1 species
AUUGAACGCUGGCGGCAGGCCUAACACAUGCAAGUCGAGCGGAUGAAGGGAGCUUGCUCCUGGAUUCAGCGGCGGACGGGUGAGUAAUGCCUAGGAAUCUGCCUGGUAGUGGGGGAUAACGUCCGGAAACGGGCGCUAAUACCGCAUACGUCCUGAGGGAGAAAGUGGGGGAUCUUCGGACCUCACGCUAUCAGAUGAGCCUAGGUCGGAUUAGCUAGUUGGUGGGGUAAAGGCCUACCAAGGCGACGAUCCGUAACUGGUCUGAGAGGAUGAUCAGUCACACUGGAACUGAGACACGGUCCAGACUCCUACGGGAGGCAGCAGUGGGGAAUAUUGGACAAUGGGCGAAAGCCUGAUCCAGCCAUGCCGCGUGUGUGAAGAAGGUCUUCGGGUUGUAAAGCACUUUAAGUUAGGAGGAAGGGCAGUAAGUUAAUACCUUGCUGUUUUGACGUUACCAACAGAAUAAGCACCGGCUAACUUCGUG